GUAAACUCGCAGUUCGAUGGUUGGCCCGGGCUCCUCUCCUUGAUCGGCUGUUAGGGUUUCAGAAUUUGGUUGCGGAAUUUACAUUCGUCUUCUCGCCUCGUUGGAUACUAGGGACCAUAUAUCAGCAGGGAAGGAUAUAAAACCAACGUCUUCUCCGAUUCCAAGCUGAUUGAUUGUUUUUGAUCCAUACUGGCUAUGAUGAAGGUUGGCAGAGUUUGGACAAAAUGGUUGGAAAAGCACUUUUGUUUCUAUCCUCACUUGAAGAUGUAGAUCAGAAUUAUGAAAAAGGAAAAAAGGCCAAUUAAUAAGAAUAAAUGAUGGUAAAAAAGCAAGUCACCUAGAGCAGCACCAUUUAUAUUUUAUUGCGGAAUGCAUCUCUGAGGCCAAGCUAAUGCAAUCCCAGGUGGGAGUUGAGCAGUAGCUGCUGGUUGAAGAACCUCUGGUUCAGCAUGGAGAAUUCAUCUUGGAAUUGGAUUCCUGCAUCAGUGCUGUAAUUAGGGUUCUUGAGAGGUUGAUUAAUGAGUCCAUGGAUGCUUUCCAUGGUGGAAUUUGCCGAGAUUGAAGCAGAGGAGUCUUCUCUGGUCCUCUGUUUUGGCUCAGCCAGCAAGAGCUGGUGGUUCAUGCAGGGAUUGGGGAUGAGCUCAGGCAAAGCGUCUAACAGGUUGUGGGCAGCUCCAAAGCCAUCCAGGAAGUCUGAAACUGAUAGUGAUUUCUGCAGCCGGAGGAGGCUGUUCGGUUGCGGGUCGUCGUUGUCGGUCGCGAAGCUCGAUGUGUGGCCGAGAUGAUUCCUAAUUGCUGCGUCGAUCACUUCUUCUUGCUCUUGUUCUUGCUCUACCGAGGAUGGUGCUGGUUCCUGGUGGCUCAGUUUCCUGUAGAUCCUGCACAGCACCCAAUCAUCCAGCUGCAAAACAUGGUUUAUAGUUCGAGAUUAGGUUUGCCUUCAUGAUGCAUUUAAGAAUUAGCAGGAUUACCCUCAUGGAGGUGUCGGAGAACUUUGCGGGUCGGUAGGUGUUGCUCGGUUUGGCCUCUGCGAGCCGGAACUCAUGCAUGAUCCAAUUUGUCUUUCGCCCUUUAGGCGGUUUUCCUCUAUAAAACACUAGGGCUUUCUUCA